UUUUUAUUUUUAUUUUUUAUAAUAAAAAAAAACACGGAGAUGAUUUAGAAUAAUUAAUUGCUUGAGACUCCUCAACUAAAGUAGUCCACUCGGACAAGUUAUAUUUUCUGUCUUAAUGGAUAUAAAUAACAAAUUAUUCUGGGUCAUGUAAGUAACAUGUUUAUUAAACGAUUAAUACUUUAGUUAUAAUUCUUACAAAAUAAUAUCUCACAAUUCUUAACUAGGAAGACCCAAAUACUAAAUUUCAGUUUUUCUUUUCUUUUUUUUUUUUUUUAGGUAAUAUAAAGUAUAUUGAAAACGACACUAAAACUCAUAGAAUCCCCACAAAACCCAAAAAAAGAUCUUGUAGAGAUUGAAUCCCUAAUAUAUUAAUAAAUAUUUUAUUCCCUCCAAGAAAUUAGUCAUCUUAAUAAACCGUCCAAAGACCAGUGUAAAUGUGCCACGUAAUGUGCCAGGUGACGAUGGAGAUGUAGUUAGCGUGGAGGGUUGGGGGAGAUGUAUCAAAACGCCUUUAAGGCAAAAUCUAGUUUUGAUAAAAUUGAAUUGAAUUUAGAUACAUGCACUGAGUCUGUGGGUCCCCAGUGGGUCUGUUCUCUGUAUGUAUGUGGGGGCCAGAAGAGCUUGACACAUCUUUUUUCGAAGUUCCUCCAAAAGGUGGAAGAAAACAUCUAUCAUGGCUAGUGGUGAUGGAUGUACCUUGUGGGAUUCGUUUUUUGGCCAAAAUUUCGUGCCAAAACAAUGUCCAACUCUGACACCAUCCCUUCAAACCCUCUCACUUGUCGACACCUGUGUUCCUAGUCUUGGGGUCGGGACCCACCAAACCUCCUUGCAAUCAGUCCAUUUUCCAUUUAAUUUUUGCUUCUUCUUCUUCUUCUUCACGCUUCACUCUUCCCUCUUCCUUUUUUCAGCUUUCAUGGAUGAAAACUUCACAAAAUCAAAAGCAAUAAUAAAUGAAGAAAGACUCAGAUAACAUGGUUUUCUUAAGUAUGGUAUAUUGGGAUAAUGACUUUAUUUACUUAUUUAUUUUCGGUCAAAGAAUAAUGACUGUAUUUGAGUUUUCUUUGUUUCUUUCUUUUUUCUUUUUUUUUUAUUCAAAUAAAUGCCUAAAUAAUGAAUAUUUUAUUGCAAGUAUUUGACAUUCUUUUUAGUGGCAUUCGCAGUUUAGAAAAGAAAGAUAUGAAUGGUGAAAUUGGAAAACAUUUGAGAUGAAAGUGUUUCUUUCCAAGGAGCUUGCUUGCCCGGUUCUUGUUGGACUCCUUACAGUCUGCAGAUAAUAUACACGUAAAGUUUUGUCAGAAAACCACGAAGAUGAAAGCAGAACUAGCAAAAUGGGUUAUUUAUCUGGAGCUCUUUAAGCCAGACAAACAACUGAGGAGAGCUUAAUGAAACAGAAAAUUAGACCAUUGUUAUGAUACUCAAAAGUAGUUUUCGCAGGCGCAGAGUUAUAAACGAGAAUGGGAUACACAUGAGAAAGCCUCCUAGGAGUAAAACUUAUGUUGCUACUAUAUGCUUUGCAUUCUAAAAACUUGUUAAAAGAGUAUACAGUAGAUGACUACCUUAAUUGUGCAAAUCAAAGAAGCAACAAAUCAAUGUCUAAUAAAAGGAAUAUAUUUGAAUGAUAGGGCAUUUAUUGGCGAUGAGACAGAGGCACGUUAAAUAUGUCCUUGAGCUCUGAAAUAGAAAUGUUUAAUCCCAUUUUUCUCUGAACACAAGCAACACAUUCAAGACGACAACAUUGCUCCACGUGAAAUAAUCAGUUGGUAGAGAAUAAUCAUAACAUAGUUCUAUCUUCAUCACGUUUCAUACCAAAUGACCAAAACCAGAUUUAAGUAAGGAAAACGAACCUGCCAUACGCAAGACCAGACUUAAGGGCUGAGCUGAGUAUCGCAAGCUUUUCCUUUCAAGUAUACUGCAAACCAUUUAAAGCUUCCAGUCAAUCUAAAAGCACAAAAACCAUCAACUUCAUUAAGAACCAGACCAAACCUUUAUUUCACAUGUAGAACAUGAAUAGGUGAUAUCUAACUGGCCAUCAAAGACUUACCAAUAUGAAAUCAAGUACAACAAAUGAAUCUUGCAAAAAUAUUACCUCUUCAAUUCUUCCACUUUUCAAAUAACUUGUCAAAAAAAUUUAUAAUAGACCAUUAAUUCCAGACAGUAAAAAACUCAGACAACUGCCAAACUAAUGCAGGGAAAAAGAGAGAGAGAGAUUCAAAAGAACCAGGAAGGAAACUCUUACCCAUCAGCAUGCUCAACAAAUGCGCAAGAAGCAGAAGCCUGUAUAGAUAUCAACAGUAACAAAAGGCAGGAUAAAAUCUAAGUUUGCUGAACCAAAAUUUCAAACUGGUUCUUGUCCUCUAAUGUCAAACACAGGAGUUGAUAGGACAAUAAUAUCUCUAAGAGAAUUACAAACCAAUAAACCAAGAGAGAAAAGAAAGGAGAAACCUCUAAUUUUGAUCUAUGAGAGACUGUUAUAUUGAAUGAAAAGCUGAUUUUAUUAGGAAUAUAAAAUGUAUUUACAAGAGGCAUUCUUUUCUGAUUUGUAAAAACUAGAACCAGGAUACAGUGUUUGCUAAGAUAUAAUCACUAAGACAUACUUACUUGUACCUCGAACAAAGAGAUCUUUACAGUAGUCACCCAACUUAUACAGGACAAAAAUCCAAAACAUCUCAAAGGUUCACUCAAAAAUCAACUUGUGCAGCAGGAUCCUAAGAAAGAAUCUAUAUAACCUAAUUGUAGAUCGGAUAGCCGAAUGACUAUUCUUAUAACUGGUAAUUUCUUGACAACAACAAUUGUGUUUUGUUUGUCAACGGUAUAAUGAACAAGACUAUGUACAGAAGCAACUUCACACCAUCAUAUUUAAGUCUGAAAGGUCAUCCAUGGGAAUUUCAAGGCCCAUAAAGUCGUGAUCUUGCAAUCCAUCAUCAUCAACAACA